UUUAACCCUGACAGGUAAGAUAUCAGAUAUCAGUACCACUUUAACCCUGACAGGUAAGAUAUCAGAUAUCAGUACCACUUUAACCCUGACAGGUCAGAUAUCAGAUAUCAGUACUACUUUAACCCUGACAGGUCAGAUAUCAGUACCACUUUAACCCUGACAGGUCAGAUAUCAGAUAUCAGUACUACUUUAACCCUGACAGGUCAGAUAUCAGAUAUCAGUACUACUUUAACCCUGACAGGUAAGAUAUCAGAGAUCAGUACCACUUUAACCCUGACAGGUAAGAUAUCAGAGAUCAGUACCACUUUAACCCUGACAGGUAAGAUAUCAGAUAUCAGUACCACUUUAACCCUGACAGGUAAGAUAUCAGAUAUCAGUACCACUUUAACCCUGACAGGUAAGAUAUCAGAUAUCAGUACCACUUUAACCCUGACAGGUCAGAUAUCAGUACCACUUUAACCCUGACAGGUCAGAUAUCAGUACCACUUUAAACCUGACAGGUCAGAUAUCAGUACCACUUUAACCCUGACAGGUCAGAUAUCAGUACCACUUUAACCCUGACAGGUCAGAUAUCAGUACCACUUUAACCCUGACAGGUCAGAUAUCAGUACCACUUUAACCCUGACAGGUCAGAUAUCAGUACCACUUUAACCUUGACAGGUCAGAUAUCAGUACCACUUUAACCCUGACAGGUCAGAUAUCAGUACCACUUUAACCCUGACAGGUCAGAUAUCAGUACCACUUUAACCCUGACAGGUCAGAUAUCAGUACCACUUUAACCCUGACAGGUCAGAUAUCAG